rnacentral:rRNA from 1 species
AUUGAACGCUGGCGGCAUGCCUUACACAUGCAAGUCGAACGGCAGCACGGGAGCAAUCCUGGUGGCGAGUGGCGGACGGGUGAGUAAUAUAUCGGAACGUGCCCAGUCGUGGGGGAUAACGCAGCGAAAGCUGUGCUAAUACCGCAUACGAUCUACGGAUGAAAGCGGGGGAUCGCAAGACCUCGCGCGAUUGGAGCGGCCGAUAUCAGAUUAGGUAGUUGGUGAGGUAAAGGCUCACCAAGCCGACGAUCUGUAGCUGGUCUGAGAGGACGACCAGCCACACUGGAACUGAGACACGGUCCAGACUCCUACGGAAGGCAGCAGUGUGGAAUUUUGGACAAUGGGCGCAAGCCUGAUCCAGCAAUGCCGCGUGCAGGAUGAAGGCCUUCGGGUUGUAAACUGCUUUUGUACGGAACGAAAAGGCUCUGGUUAAUACCUGGGGCACAUGACGGUACCGUAAGAAUAAGCACCGGCUAACUACGUGCCAGCCGCCGCGGUAACAC